CUGAAGGAGGAGCUUGCUUCUCCGGAUGAGUUGCGAACGGGUGAGUAACGCGUAGGUAACCUGCCUGGUAGCGGGGGAUAACUAUUGGAAACGAUAGCUAAUACCGCAUAACAGUAGAUAUUGCAUGAUAUCUGCUUGAAAGGUGCAAUUGCAUCACUACCAGAUGGACCUGCGUUGUAUUAGCUAGUUGGUGAGGUAACGGCUCACCAAGGCGACGAUACAUAGCCGACCUGAGGGGGUGAUCGGCCACACUGGGACUGAGACACGGCCCAGACUCCUACGGGAGGCAGCAGUAGGGAAUCUUCGGCAAUGGACGGAAGUCUGACCGAGCAACGCCGCGUGAGUGAAGAAGGUUUUCGGAUCGUAAAGCUCUGUUGUAAGAGAAGAACGAGUGUGAGAGUGGAAAGUUCACACUGUGACGGUAUCUUACCAGAAAGGGACGGCUAACUACGUGCCAGCAGCCGCGGUAAUACGUAGGUCCCGAGCGUUGUCCGGAUUUAUUGGGCGUAAAGCGAGCGCAGGCGGUUAGAUAAGUCUGAAGUUAAAGGCUGUGGCUUAACCAUAGUACGCUUUGGAAACUGUUUAACUUGAGUGCAAGAGGGGAGAGUGGAAUUCCAUGUGUAGCGGUGAAAUGCGUAGAUAUAUGGAGGAACACCGGUGGCGAAAGCGGCUCUCUGGCUUGUAACUGACGCUGAGGCUCGAAAGCGUGGGGAGCAAACAGG
rnacentral:rRNA from 1 species